ensembl:snoRNA
UGCACUGUAUGGUAUCUGCACUCAACAGUUAUUCCUGAUGGUGUGUUCAAAAGACAGUGCCAUAGAAAUUCAGUAUCUGGCAUCGUUGGUUUUCAUGUCUUUGUGCAUGUUAAACCUGGUAUUUCUAUUGAUACAUUA